UGGGGAAUCUUGGACAAUGGGGGAAACCCUGAUCCAGCGAUACCGCGUGUGUGAAGAAGGCCUUCGGGUUGUAAAGCACUUUAGGUGGGGAAGAAAGGUACGAGAGGAAUAUUCUUGUGCUGUGACGGUACCCACAGAAUAAGCACCGGCUAACUCUGUGCCAGCAGCCGCGGUAAUACAGAGGGUGCAAGCGUUAAUCAGAAUGACUGGGCGUAAAGGGCGUGUAGGUGGUUGACUAGGUUUGAUGUGAAAUCCCCGGGCUUAACCUGGGAAUGGCGUCGAAAACGGGUUGACUAGAGUGAGAGAGAGGGUUGUGGAAUUUCCGGUGUAGCGGUGAAAUGCGUAGAUAUCGGAAAGAACAUCAGUGGCGAAGGCGACAACCUGGCUCUUAACUGACACUGAGGCGCGAAGGCGUGGGGAGCAAACAGG
rnacentral:rRNA from 1 species